GAGCGUAGCUCAUCUGGUAGAGCGCCACCUUGCCAAGGUGGAGGUAGCGAGUUCGAGCCUCGUCGCUCCCU
rnacentral:tRNA from 1 species